rnacentral:rRNA from 1 species
CGCGUAGGCGGCGCGGGCAGUCAACGGUGAAAGCUCGGGGCUCAACCCCGAGUCGGCCGUCGAUACUCCCGUGCUUGAGCACUGUAGAGGCAGGUGGAAUUCCGGGUGUAGCGGUGGAAUGCGUAGAGAUCCGGAAGAACACCGGUGGCGAAGGCGGCCUGCUGGGCAGUAGCUGACGCUGAGGCGCGACAGCGUGGGGAGCAAACA